rnacentral:rRNA from 1 species
AUUGAACGCUGGCGGCAUGCCUUACACAUGCAAGUCGAACGGCAGCACGGGGCAACCUGGUGGCGAGUGGCGAACGGGUGAGUAAUGCAUCGGAACGUGCCAUUGAGUGGGGGAUAACGUAGCGAAAGUUGCGCUAAUACCGCAUAUUCUGUGAGCAGGAAAGCAGGGGACCGCAAGGCCUUGCGCUCUUUGAGCGGCCGAUGUCAGAUUAGCUAGUUGGUGAGGUAACGGCUUACCAAGGCGACGAUCUGUAGCGGGUCUGAGAGGAUGAUCCGCCACACUGGAACUGAGACACGGUCCAGACUCCUACGGGAGGCAGCAGUGGGAAUUUUGGACAAUGGGCGCAAGCCUGAUCCAGCCAUGCCGCGUGAGUGAAGAAGGCCUCGGU